CAGAGUUCAUGCCCUCACGGGUAGAUCUCCCACCCUUGUGUAUUUCUUGUUUUUGUUGCUUUGGCAGGCCGUUAGCUCGCUAACCACCGGCUCUCGGGCUGGUGCGCGCCUGCCGGAGGACCUCCCAAACUCUGUUUGUUAGUGUCGUCUGAGUACUAUAACAAUUUGUUA
rnacentral:misc_RNA from 1 species